rnacentral:SRP_RNA from 1 species
GUCCGAAAGGAAGCAGCCGCAGCCGUC